rnacentral:lncRNA from 1 species
CGCAGAUCCCGAGAAUCCAGCAGGGUCUCCGGGUAUGAGUCUGGUUGUCCCUCACCAGGACGAUCCCGCCUGGCUAUGAUAUCAUCUCUCACUUCCUGCCAGCCAGUGAUCUCAGCCACACUUGGAGCAGUCAGCGGGGCCCCCGGGGUUACCGAGCGCUUCCUGGAGGCCAGGCAGUGUCUGAGCACUUCGUAUCCACUGAUAGGUUUAAUCUCCCAACAACUGAAGAGGAUAAGCCACACGACGGCAACCUUUUCCUCUGCUGCAGCCCCAGUGCCAAGAACAACACCAAGCGUACUGCAGAGACAAGCUGUUUGUGAAUGAAGGCAUAAGUGCCCAUUUUCCGCAAGAGAAAGUUGUGGCUCAGUGGGGCACCACUCGUCCUCCGAACUACUCACUGCCUGGGGUCCUCAGCCACCUUGUCAUACACGGUAACAGCUAACACGGGCAAGUGGUACUGCACACCCGGCACUGUGCCCAUCACCUGUCCAGGCCGGCUCCUUCACUCCCCAGCACAGCCCUGUGCGCGAGGCUCCAUCGAACGACAUCCAGCUCACGCUGCCUGCGGAGACCGAGACCCAGCUGGGGGCAG